GACGAACGCUGGCGGCGUGCCUAACACAUGCAAGUCGAGCGGAGUCGAUCGACGGAAGCCUUCGGGCGGAAGAUGGUUGACUUAGCGGCGGAUGGGUGAGUAACGCGUGGGCAACCUGCCUCGAAGACCGGGAUAACAGCCCGAAAGGGCUGCUAAUACCGGAUGUGGUCAAGGAUCCGCAUGGAUUUUGAUUAAAGGGGAAACCCGUUUCGAGAUGGGCCCGCGUCCUAUCAGCUAGUUGGUGAGGUAAAAGCUCACCAAGGCGACGACGGGUAGCCGGCCUGAGAGGGUGACCGGCCACACUGGAACUGAGACACGGUCCAGACUCCUACGGGGGGCAGCAGUGGGGAAUCUUCCACAAUGGGCGAAAGCCUGAUGGAGCGACGCCGCGUGAGGGAAGAAGGCCUUCGGGUUGUAAACCUCUGUCAUGGGGGAAGAAGUAAGUGACGGUACCCCAAGAGGAAGCCCCUGCUAACUACGUG
rnacentral:rRNA from 1 species